rnacentral:rRNA from 1 species
UACGAAGGGUGCGAGCGUUGUUCGGAAUUACUGGGCGUAAAGGGUUUGUAGGCUGACAUGUAAGUCAAGUGUGAAAUCCCCGAGCUAAACUUGGGACGUGCAUUUGAAACUGUGUUUCUUGAGUAUCGUAGAGGGUGGUGGAAUUGUAGGUGUAGGAGUGACAUCCGUAGAGAUCUGCAGGAACAUCAGAGGCGAAGGCGACCACCUGGCCGAUGACUGACGCUGAGGAACGAAAGCGUGGGGAGCAAACAGG